rnacentral:rRNA from 1 species
UAGGGAAUCUUCCGCAAUGGACGCAAGUCUGACGGAGCAACGCUGCGUGAGUGAAGAAGGAUUUCGGUUCGUAAAACUCUGUUGUUAGAGAAGAACAGCGCAUAGAGUAACUGUUAUGCGUGUGACGGUAUCUAACCAGAAAGCCACGGCUAACUACGUGCCAGCAGCCGCGGUAAUACGUAGGUGGCAAGCGUUGUCCGGAUUUAUUGGGCGUAAAGCGAGCGCAGGCGGUCAAUUAAGUCUGAUGUGAAAGCCCCCGGCUCAACCGGGGAGAGUCAUUGGAAACUGGUUGACUUGAGUGCAGAAGAGGAGAGUGGAAUUCCAUGUGGAGCGGUGAAAUGCGUAGAUAUAUGAAGGAACACCAGUGGCGAAGGCGACUCUCUGGUCUGUAACUGACGCUGAGGCUCGAAAGCGUGGGUAGCAAACAGG